UACGUAGGGUGCAAGCGUUGUCCGGAAUUAUUGGGCGUAAAGAGCUCGUAGGCGGUCUGUCGCGUCUGCUGUGAAAACUCAGGGCUUAACCCUGAGCUUGCAGUGGGGUACGGGCAGACUAGAGUGCGGUAGGGGAGACUGGAAUUCCUGGUGUAGCGGUGAAAUGCGCAGAUAUCAGGGAGGAACACCGGUGGGCGAAAGGCGGGUCUCU
rnacentral:rRNA from 1 species